rnacentral:rRNA from 1 species
UACAGAGGGGGCAAGCGUUAUUCGGCAUUAUUGGGCGUAAAGGGCGCGUAGGCGGCCUGGCAAGUGGAAGGUGAAAUCCCUCGGCUUAACCGAGGAACUGCCUCCCAAACUGCUUGGCUUAAGACCAGGAGAGGUGAGUGGAAUUCCCAGUGUAGCGGUGAAAUGCGUAGAUAUUGGGAGGAACACCAGUGGCGAAGGCGGCUCACUGGACUGGUACUGACGCUGAGGCGCGAAAGCGUGGGGAGCGAACAGG